rnacentral:rRNA from 1 species
AACGAACGCUGGCGGCAGGCUUAACACAUGCAAGUCGAACGCCCCGCAAGGGGAGUGGCAGACGGGUGAGUAACGCGUGGGAACAUACCCUUUCCUGCGGAAUAGCUCUGGGAAACUGGAAUUGAUACCGCAUACGCCCUACGGGGAAAGAUUUAUCGGGGAAGGAUUGGCCCGCGUUGGAUUAGCUAGUUGGUGGGGUAAAGGCCUACCAAGGCGACGAUCCAUAGCUGGUCUGAGAGGAUGAUCAGCCACAUUGGGACGGAGACACGGCCCCAACUCCUACGGGAGGCAGCAGUGGGGAAUAUUGGACAAUGGGCGCAAGCCUUAUCCAGCCAUGCCGCGUGAGUGAUGAAGGCCUUAGGGUUGUAAAGCUCUUUCACCGAUGAAGAUAAUGACGGUAGUCGGAGAAGAAGCCCCGGCUAACUUCGUGCCAGCCGCCGCAGUAAGAC